UCGAGGACGGAGGAUGGCCGUCGCGUGCAUCGCCACUUGCGCUUUGCUCCACAAUGUGCUGCUGAUGAGGGGUGAUGUCGAUCAUUCAUCUUCCCCCCCUCCCAACAUCUCAUUUGGGGAUGAUGAUCACACCGCACGACAACCUUUGGAGGUCGAGGACUGUUCUAAUGCUGACGACAAGGCUAUCAUUCUGCGCAACGCCUUGGCUAUGAAAGCGAGGGCUCUUCGGCAUGCCACUCAAAUUUCAUAAUCAAUAACGGGAUAUUACCUGAAGUGUCACCUGAGGUGAAGACUCUUUACAGCCAGAUUUUUUGAACUUCCAUUGCAGCACAAAAAGGAAUAGUCUAUGGCAUUGGCACCCGGUUGCAUUUCAAGGGUAAGGGCAACUCUAUGUAGUUUAUGUAUAAUAAAAGCUGGACUAGUUGUAUGCAUUCGCUCUCAUAAUUUAUCCAACAAUCAUCCGAAAUGUGAGCUACUAGCCUUCAGAACCCACUGCGCUCAUUGCAGAGAGGCCGUUGGAACUUACUCGAUGGAAACUAAUAGAGUGAGCUGAUACUCGAGACUUAAGCACUUUGACUAUUUCUGCAAGAUUAUUGUGUUACAAGUCUCCGGCACUGCAUUAGUUGGUUCACAUUUGGCCUAUACUUAAUGCUCUUGUCCUGAACGCGGGAGAUGUUCUUGAGGUAAGCUGGCCAAAUCUCUAUUGCUAAACAUAGUUUUUCUAUAAAUGAACCAGCGAUGUGAAAAUUAUUAGACAAUGAGAUUGGGAUUGUCUAACUUGUUGGUGUAUCGAACAAUUUGUUGGAUACUCCGGAGUGCUCAAUUGUGAAUGACUUUGGUUUCAUGUAAAAGAACGCUUGGCCUUGUUGGGAAAAAAAGAUGGAGGCAGGCGGUUACUCACCAUGUAGGUUAUUUUAAUAAUCGACUGAUGAUGAAGGUGUUCUAAACUUGAUGAAUAUUAGCGGUGCUAGAUGAUAUUUAGAACACAAACCUGCACCUGCAUGGAGAAAAUAUGGGAUAAUGGGUUCGAAUCUAUGAGUCUGAUUGCUUCCUAUUAAGGCCAGGGUCUGCACUUCCUAUUGUGAACAUAUUCUGGGUCUGCACUUCCUAUUGUGAACAUAUUCUUACUUGACCUGAAUCAUGUGGUUAUAGUUGAUGGACCUUGCAGGUAGGACUCAAGUCAGACCAUAUUUUUCUAAAAAGGCCAUUGUAGAGUUUAAACUCAAGGCUUGAUGCCCUGUUCUUAUGUGAUGCUAUAGUCCAAACAUCAUACAGGAGGAUAUUUUAUAUUCAGAAGUAGUGGCACUUCGCGAUAUCUAGCAUUGAACGUAGAAUAAUGACGUUUUCUCAAAUCACAAGUUAGUGCCAGUUCAUCUAUACAUGCAAACUAAGUAUGCUUCAUGGAACUAAUAUCUGAUUCUGACAAUAACAAGCAUGAUGUAGGUUCUGCUUAAUGGAGUGUACAAGUAUUGAGUGUAGAACAAUGACCAAUAAGAGCGAAUCAAGAACUUCACAUGCAUCUUCGUAAGCCCACAAGAUGAUGGAGAAAUCGAGCCACUGAACGCGUCAUUGUCGAAUGCGCCACCAAGAAUAAAAAAAAAAAAAGAUUUGGAGGAUACAUGAUAUAUUCACUGACAAUAGAGGACGGUGGGAAAUCACAUCUUAAACUUGUAGAACUCCAUUCCAAAUGAAAGAUGCGCUUCCGGAUAAAUCAAACUCAUCAGAGUUGUAUUGGGCAAAAAGUAUUUUCGCAGGUUGGCUUCAUCAACCUUUUUUCAGUGCGUGCAAUCUCAAAAUUAUGGUUUAUUGAUGUUUAUUUGUAAUUUGACUUGCUUGCUUAAAUAAGGUUUCUUCACCAGGGAUAUCUGGCUCCUUUUUUUAUUCUUUA